AUACGGAGGGUGCAAGCGUUAAUCGGAAUUACUGGGCGUAAAGCGCUCGUAGGCGGCUUGUUAAGUCGGAUGUGAAAGCCCCGGGCUCAACCUGGGAACUGCAUUCGAUACUGGCAGGCUAGAGUAUAGUAGAGGCAAGUGGAAUUCCGGGUGUAGCGGUGAAAUGCGUAGAUAUCCGGAGGAACAUCAGUGGCGAAGGCGACUUGCUGGACUAAUACUGACGCUGAGGAGCGAAAGCGUGGGGAGCAAACGGGAUUAGAUACCCCAGUAGUCC
rnacentral:rRNA from 1 species